rnacentral:lncRNA from 13 species
AUGAAACUCUCAAAUGCCCCCACAGAGCUGAGAGUCUCGGGUGGGGGCUGCUUGUGCAGGGCAGGGCCAGGGGGCUCUCCAUGGGGCUGGGGACAGCAGAAGGGCACCUUCCCCAUGGUCUGGGAGUCAUCCUCAGAGAAGGUGCCAGGUGUUACAUGUGGGUCCACAGAGGAGAGGGAAGGCAGCUCACCAGGCCAGAAGGACAGAUGGCUGGGGCCCAGAGCCCCUGGUGGGUGGGUCACAAAGGGAGCUCUGGCCAUUCCUCCCCCUUCCCUCACUCCCUUCAUUUCUUCCUUCUGCAAACACUUUGCAAAAGCAUCGUCUCCUGUAUUGGGUCUGUGUGGGGAUGCUGAUGUGAACAGGACAGGAUGGGCCUCUGCCCCUCGAGGGAGCACCCAGUCUAGAGGAAACAGACAAAGAAGGCUGUUGAGAUGCAGUGUGAGAAGUGCUUCUCAGGAACGCACAGGAGGCAUUAGCUUUGGGCUGCACCUUGAGGACAGUGGACCUUCUGCAGAGUCAGGACAGGGCAAGGCAGCCUUCAGGAAGCGUGAGCCCAGCCCUGAGCAUCCCUCCCAGAAGAAGAGUUUCCAGUCAGAAGGAGGAGCCAGCAGGUGGUGGAGGGAUCCAGGAGAGAGUGCUGUGGGCGCCCGAGAAUGA